UCAAGCGAUUAAGUGCAUACGGUGGAUGCCUUGGCAGUCAGAGGCGAUGAAGGACGUUGUAACAUGCGAUAAGCCUCGGGGAGUUUGUAAACUAACUUUGAUCCGAGGAUUUCCGAAUGGGGAAACCCACCAAUUUAUUGGUAUCUUUAACUGAAUACAUAGGUUAAAGAGGCGAACGCGGUGAACUGAAACAUCUAAGUAACCGUAGGAAAAGAAAUCAACCGAGAUUCCCUUAGUAGCGGCGAGCGAACGGGGACCAGCCCUAAAGUGCUAGGUGUGAUAGAUGAAUGGUCUGGAAAGUCCAGCGACACAAGGUGAUAGCCCUGUAAUCGAAAUCUAUCCUAGUAUUAUUCGAGUAGGACGGAACACGUGUAAUUCUGUUUGAACAUGGGGGGACCAUCCUCCAAGGCUAAAUACUACUGACUGACCGAUAGUGAACCAGUACCGUGAGGGAAAGGCGAAAAGAACCCCUGUGAGGGGAGUGAAAUAGAACCUGAAACCGUAUGCAUACAAGCUGUGGGAGCUCCUUUGGGAGUGACUGCGUACCUUUUGUAUAAUGGGUCAGCGACUUAAUUCUCAGUGGCAAGCUUAACCGUAUAGGGGAGGCGUAGGGAAACCGAGUCUUAAUAGGGCGACAGUCGCUGGGAUUAGACCCGAAACCGGACGAUCUAUCCAUGGCCAGGUUGAAGGUGGGGUAAUACCUACUGGAGGACCGAACCAACUUAUGUUGAAAAAUGAGUGGAUGAGCUGUGGAUAGGAGUGAAAGGCUAAACAAGUCCGGAGAUAGCUGGUUCUCCCCGAAAUCUAUUUAGGUAGAGCGUCAUGUCUCACUGUUGGGGGUAGAGCACUGUUAUGGCUAGGGGCCCAUACCGGGUUACCAAACCAUUGCAAACUCCGAAUACCAACAAGUGCAAUCAUGGCAGACAGACUGCGGGUGAUAACGUCCGUAGUCGAGAGGGAAACAACCCAGACCGCCAGCUAAGGUCCCUAAAUAUAGCUCAGUGGGAAACGAUGUGAGAAGGCAUAGACAGCCAGGAGGUUGGCUUAGAAGCAGCCACCCUUUAAAGAAAGCGUAAUAGCUCACUGGUCGAGUCGGCUCGCGCGGAAGAUGUACCGGGGCUCAAGCUAUAUACCGAAGCUGCGGAUGCGAUUUAUCGCAUGGUAGGGGAGCGUUCUGUAAGCCUGCGAAGGUGUGGUGGAAACCAUGCUGGAGGUAUCAGAAGUGAGAAUGCUGACAUGAGUAACGAUAAUGCGGGUGAAAAACCCGCACACCGAAAACCCAAGGUUUCCUACGCAACGCUAAUCGGCGUAGGGUUAGUCGGCCACUAAGGCGAGGGCGAAAGCCGUAGUCGAUGUGAAACAGGUUAAUAUUCCUGUACCGAUAAUUACUGCGAUGGAAUGACGGAGAAGGCUAAUCUGGAAGGGUGUUGGUUUACCCUAUCUAAGCAUGUAGGCUGGAAUCUUAGGCAAAUCCGGGAUUCUAAGGCUGAGAUGUGAUGGCGAGGUUCAAUUGCGAACCGAGCAGAUGAUGCCAGGCUUCCAAGAAAAGUUUCUAAGCUUCAGGUAAUUAUUGACCGUACUCUAAACGGACACACGUGGGUGAGGCGAGAAGCCUAAGGUGCUUGAGAGAACCCAGGUGAAGGAACUCGGCAAAAUGACACCGUAACUUCGGGAGAAGGUGUGCCUACUCCGGUGAAAGCCCUUGCGGCUCGAGCUAGAGAGGUUGCAAUAAAUAGGUGGCUGCGACUGUUUAUUAAAAACAUAGCACUGUGCAAACACGAAAGUGGACGUAUACGGUGUGACGCCUGCCCGGUGCCGGAAGGUUAAUUGAUGGGGUUAGACUUAGGUCGAAGCUCUUGAUCGAAGCCCCGGUGAACGGCGGCCGUAACUAUAACGGUCCUAAGGUAGCGAAAUUCCUUGUCGGGUAAGUUCCGACCUGCACGAAUGGCGUAACGAUGGCCACACUGUCUCCACCUGGGACUCAGUGAAAUUGAAUUUGCUGUGAAGAUGCAGUAUACCCGCGGUUAGACGGAAAGACCCCGUGCACCUUUACUACAGCUUUGCAUUGGACUUUGAACCUAUUUGUGUAGGAUAGGUGGGAGGCUUUGAAGCGUGAACGCCAGUUUGCGUGGAGCCAACCUUGAAAUACCACCCUGGUAUGUUUGGAGUCCUAACCCAGGUCCAUUAUCUGGAUCGGGGACAAUGUAUGGUGGGUAGUUUGACUGGGGCGGUCUCCUCCCAAAGAGUAACGGAGGAGCGCGAAGGUACUCUAAAUACGGUCGGAAAUCGUAUGGUUAGUGUAAAGGCAAAAGAGUGCUUGACUGCGAGACGGACAUGUCGAGCAGGUACGAAAGUAGGUCUUAGUGAUCCGGUGGUUCUGUAUGGAAGGGCCAUCGCUCAACGGAUAAAAGGUACGCCGGGGAUAACAGGCUGAUACCCCCCAAGAGUUCACAUCGACGGGGGUGUUUGGCACCUCGAUGUCGGCUCAUCUCAUCCUGGGGCUGUAGCCGGUCCCAAGGGUAUGGCUGUUCGCCAUUUAAAGAGGUACGCGAGCUGGGUUUAGAACGUCGUGAGACAGUUUGGUCCCUAUCUGCCGUGGGCGCCUGAGACUUGAGGGAAGCUGCUCCUAGUACGAGAGGACCGGAGUGGACGUACCCCUGGUGUUCCAAUUGUCUCGCCAGAGGCAUUGUUGGGUAGCUAUGUACGGACGGGAUAACCGCUGAAAGCAUCUAAGCGGGAAGCCCCUCCCAAGAUAAGGUCUCACUGAAUACUUGAUAUUCCUGAAGGGUCGUCGAAGACUACGACGUUGAUAGGCAAGGUGUGGAAGCGUUGAAAGGCGUUAAGCUAACUUGUACUAAUUGCCCGUGAGGCUUGACCA
rnacentral:rRNA from 1 species